rnacentral:tRNA from 1 species
GAGGAAAUAGUUUAAGAAAAAUUUGAAGUUGUCAACUUCAGGAUGCCUAUGUUUGGUUUUCUUCU